rnacentral:rRNA from 1 species
CACGUAGGGCGCAAGCGUUGUCCGGAAUUAUUGGGCGUAAAGAGCUCGUAGGCGGUCUGUUGCGUCUGCUGUGAAAACUCGGGGCUUAACCCCGAGCCUGCAGUGGAUACGGGCAGACUAGAGGUAGGUAGGGGAGAAUGGAAUUCCCGGUGUAGCGGUGAAAUGCGCAGAUAUCGGGAGGAACACCGGUGGCGAAGGCGGGUCUCUGGACAGUUCCUGACGCUGAGGCACGAAGGCCAGGGGAGCAAACGGG